UGAGGAACAUGACCUUCGGCGGGGGAGUAGCCGGCCCAACGGCCGGGUAAUACCGCGUACGACUACAUGGGGACAUCCCUGAGUGGUGAAAGCAGCAAUGCGCCGAUGGAGUGCCUCGCGGCCUAUCAGCUAGUUGGUGAGGUAACGGCUCACCAAGGCGACGACGGGUAGCUGGUCUGAGAGGAUGGCCAGCCACAGUUGGGACUGAGACACCGGCCCAGACCUCGUACCGGGGAGG
rnacentral:rRNA from 1 species